ACAUUAAAAAUGAUAUUAAUGUCGCAUUGAUACCGCACCAUAUAACAUUAGUUUUGAAAAAUUCACUACUGGAGUAAAACUACUGCGUGAAUUUACUUCUCGUAUUGUGUUAAAUAUAUAUUUCGUAACGACACUAAACACUGUAUGUGACGCGUGACCUUUGGUCGAGUGACGUAUAACGCGCUAUCAUAACACGCUAUGUCUAUAAGGCCGUGGCCUUGUUGUCAUUCGCAUGACAAGGCUUGAGUGAGAAGGUAGCAGUGUGAUGUGUCGUCGUAUCUCUCGACAUAUAUAAUCGUGAUUCUUAUUACGAGUAGAUUAUCAGCUCGAUUAAUUUUCGCUGUUAACGAAUAAACAUAUCGGAAGUGACAGCUAUAUAAUAUAUUCAUAUUAACAUAAUUUUGACUUGCGCAAUCGAUAUAUUUUCAAUAGGAACUGAGGUUAAGUAAUAGAAAAUCGAAAUUAUGAAUAGUUUUAUUGCAAUAUUCGCAGGCGAUUACUAUUUUUACAAAUAUAUUUGGAAUAUAUUUUAUCUCGCAUUGUGAAUUUUUUGUCCAUUUAUAACACGUGAUAGCAAAAUUAUUUUAAAACGCUAGCGCAUUUGUUAACAAUAGAAAUAGCAUUCACGGUGAAUGAUACGCGAAUUUAAUUGACGAACUCAACGAUGGUUGAGUGAAUCGUCGAAAUGUAAUAAAGUGCAAUAUAAAAUCGCGAGCGAUAAUAUCGGGAGUGCCGUGCAAAGUUCGCGCGAUUAUUGUAUUCUGUAUUUUUGAUUACUGCACGCGUGUUUUCGCGAGUGAGUGUUAAUUAAGAACAACAAAGGAUGAAGUGAAUCAGAGAGGAAGAGAAAUCCUGGAUUGAUAACGGGACAAUUAUAGAGCCUCGCAUAAUUCACCGACAGAGGAGCGGUGCGUUCAAGGAACGAGGAUGCGAGCGGCAAGAUCCUGGCGGCAAUAGGAGCAAGAUGUUUUGCAGACGAAUCCGCGGCUUUUUGUCCUGCGGACGAUUUUGGUGGGUGAACAGCGAGUCGAACGAGGACGCCGUAUGGAUCGCGGCUCCCAUUAAGCCCUUAUUAAUUGCAAGCAUCUAAAGGACCGACCAAUCUUUCUUGCGCUACCUGCGUACCAUCCGUUAGCCGAGUAAAGCUCGUCCUGCUGUCGUUCGACACAAUCAGGACAUGGUAGGAUGCUUUGAUGUACCUUCGAUAUGCCGACGAUUCGUACGCGAGUAUAUCAGAUGUUCCAUGAUUCUCUUCAUCGUUCAAGGGUUUAAGGUCGACGUCGUCGUAUAAAGCGGCGGAGGGAGGGAAGAAAUGUGCAAGCUGAUACUAUUUAUCGUCUCGCGUGGGGUACGACGGGCAGCCGAAGGUGGUAACGAGCAGGUACUUAGGUAAGAAUUUCAAUUAGUGGACGAGAGAGAUGGAGAGGAAGGGACACGAUCGAAGACUAAGACAAUUAACGGAGAGUUCGCCGAACACAGGGUCGCACUUCCGGGUUUUAACGAAUCAACUGCAGAUUAAUCGAAUUCGCGAUUUUCUUUAUACGCGAACUUUCUUCCUCUCGAUUGAGUGUCAAACGAGUAGCCGCAUUAACACAUAAUUGAACCAUCAUUGAUUCCUCUAACUAAGCAUUCAUCGAGAUAUGCCGAGAGUUCAUACGUGAGCUUCUUACUAAAUGAUAAGUCAUUUCGAUGAGCGGCAAGAAUAAAGAAGAUGCAGAGGAAAGUUUUUCGGCGAAAAUGGGGAAAUUUGCUGGCUGAUGAAGCGAGCGGAGGAAAGUUUAUGAGCCCCUCCAGAUGAGCGGCUAAUUUUUAAACAAAGCCUAAUUUCCGCAACUUCAUAACAUAGUCGCGGUCGUUAUUACUUGCCGGGAUAAUAAAUGAUUAUUACGCCAUCGCGAAGAAAGGGCAGGAUGGAGAUGCGAGGGUGAGACGAAGGUGGGUAAAACGCUUUGAUGUAUUCUCGCUCGGGUGGAGGCAAGCCGAGCGACAAACUCUUCGAUAUUCGGACGAUGAAGAGCACUUUCUCGUCGUGGGGGGAGAUCGGGAGGCGCGGAUGCUUAGAGCCCUUCCCUCCCCAUCCACCCUCUAACAGCUGAUUACCCCUUCCGCGAUCCUUCGUGGCAAAUAUUUCGAAGUGUACGUUGUCAGAUUGCACUUUCAUUGUGCUCCCGCUGUCUUUAUAAUCUCGAUGUUUCCUUGCGUUCUCAAAAUACACGGCUCUGUCCCUCCCUCUCAAUCUCUUUCUCUCUUUCUCACCCUUUUCCUCGCCGACAGGUCGUCAAUGAAAUAGCUGCGAGCGGUGCUGCGAGACACGUGAAAUUGAUGGAAGUAUGCGCGCUGCACGCAUUCCGCUCGGGUUUGCCAUCGAGCGGAGCGGAGCGGAUUCGCGCGAGCACCUACGACGACGAUUCCCCUGUGCUCUCUGUUCUUUAUUAAUGAAGGUACAUUCCCGGCGAGAUUCGCGUCCCUGUUCGCGGCUGGAUGCGCGAAUCGCGCGCGGACGAAGAGACGAGGAAUCUCGCGCGCGGAAAUCAACUCGUUCGCGGGAAUGAAUGAAAAACAGAUGGGCACGAGCAGAACCGAAAAUCCAUCUCUCGCUCUCGCCUUUUGAUCCUGAACGGGGGCGAGAUCAGGCGAGGCCGCCAUACGCAUUUUAAUGUCGACGGCUUUGAAUACAUCCAAUUACGAAGUGUGUUGCGGUCUCGCGAGUUAUUCGCGUCAGCCAGAAUCUGCAUCGAUCACGUCGCAGCAAGCCGCUAACAAAAGUCGAACGCCGACCAAGUAUUUUGUCAAGAGUCUGACGCGCGCAUUCGCGUUUAUUUCCUCUUACGUUUUAAUACGAAUAAUUAAAGACAAGGAUCCUACGAGCGAAAAAUCUUAACUGAAUUUUUUUCUUCGAUCGAAACAAGAUAAAAUUAGACAAUUAAGAUACAUUGCAUCCAGUUAGGAGAGAUUAAGAACUAGGUAAUUUAUUAUCUAAAACGCAACAUUUUCUCUGUUUAGGCGGAGGUUGAUGCAUUCACUUCUCUCACUUAACUUCGAAGGUGAAGGGUCAAAAUUUCACGGCGAAGGAGUCGACACUUUAUCUUCCUGGGACAAACUGGAGGGAAAGAGAUGAGAACCAAAGAGAGAAAGAAAGAGAGAGAGAGGGUGCAGUUUCGGCCUUCGGGCCCCGCGGAGACCCGCUGCGCAAAGAUGUACGGAUAAGGGGAUAUAAAUGGGCCCUGGCCGCAGUCCGAGGGCAAAUAUAGACCAGGAUAGGACAUCAAGAGGAAAGGAUUCCCGAUGGGCCGAACGGGACCGAAUAGCACCGGUAUGGAAAUGCGAUCGGCCUUUAAACGUCGAACCGCGCACAGCUAUGUUAAUUCCCGCGCGUGUUAGCCAAGGUGUAACUUCUGUUUAUCUUCGUAUCGGUCUCCGGCCAGAUUUAACGAAUACGGACAGACCACCUUCAAGAAACGAGAAAAUCCGCAUCGUUCACGAUAUCCUGAAAUUAUGUGUAAAAUAUUGCACGAAAUUUCGAAAUACCUCGGACUCGCGUGUAAUGCGUGAAAAAUGUGACCUCGUUCGAUUCUUGCAUCCGGAUCUUCACGCGCGUGCUCAUUCAUUGUUGCAGGCUCGGCGCAUCUCGUCUACCGAUCAGAUCCGACGUGAUGGAUUCACUUCGCGUGGAAUGGAAACGCGAGUGACGGCUACGAGCGGCAACUAAGAACGGAAAA